ACCCUCUCAGGGUCACAACUGGAGAGUUUCCAGUACUCUGCCAGUCUCGACUACGGGAGGGAGAGUCAAGCAGAGGCAUAACCAUUCCGUUUCUAGUUUGGGCAGUAGCUAGCAAUUGGAAGACAAUCUGCUACAACU